rnacentral:ncRNA from 1 species
UGGGCCAGUAGGUCGCUGCCCAGGUCUAGGCAGGAACACCUGUCAAAUGAUAGUGCAGGUGUCCUAAAGCCAGCUCAAGGAGGACAGAAACCUCAAUGAAUUCGAAACUCAUGAAGCAGAAGGGCUUGCUUGAUCUUCAUUUUCAGUAUAUGAAUACAGACAGUGGAAACAGGGCCUCAGAUCCUUGUGACCUUUUGGGUUUUAAGCAGGAGGUGUCAGAAAAGUUACCA